rnacentral:rRNA from 1 species
ACGCUCGACACCUACUGGAGGCAGCAGUGGGGGAUAUUGCACAAUGGGGGAAACCCUGAUGCAGCGACGCCGCGUGAAGGAAGAAGGCCUUCGGGUUGUAAACUUCUGUCGUACGGGACGAUAGUGACGGUACCGUACAAGAAAGCCACGGCUAACUACGUGCCUGCAGCCGCGGUAAUCUGAGCGGGCUGGCAAGGC